rnacentral:rRNA from 1 species
UCAAGUGACUAAGUGCAUGUGGCGGAUGCCUUGGCGAUCACAGGCGAAGAAAGACGCGGUAGCCUGCGAAAAGCUGCGGGGAGCUGGCAAACGAGCUUUGAUCCGCAGAUAUCUGAAUGGGGGAACCCACACCGCAAGGUGUAUCCGUAGCUGAAUACAUAGGUUACGGAGGCGAACGAGGAGAACUGAAACAUCUAAGUAUCCUCAGGAAAAGAAAUCAACCGAGAUUCCGGCAGUAGCGGCGAGCGAACCCGGAGGAGCCCAGCUUUUGAUAGUACGAACUUUAGCCGAAAGGUCCUGGAAAGGCCUGCUAUAGUGGGUGAUAGCCCCGUAGGCGAAAGAGUUGGUACGGUACUAAGGAAGCGAGAAGUAGAGCGGGACACGUGGAAUCCUGUUCGAAGACGGGGGGACCAUCCUCCAAGGCUAAAUACUCGUGAUCGACCGAUAGUGAACCAGUACCGUGAGGGAAAGGCGAAAAGAACCCCGGGAGGGGAGUGAAAUAGAACCUGAAACCGCAUGCAUACAAACAGUAGGAGCCUUUACGGAGGUGACUGCGUACCUUUUGCAUAAUGGGUCAGCGACUUACAUUCUGUGGCGAGCUUAACCGAAUAGGGGAGGCGCAGCGAAAGCGAGUUCGAAAUGAGCGUUCAGUCGCAGGGUGUAGACCCGAAACCAGAUGAGCUAUCCAUGGCCAGGUUGAAGGUGUGGUAACACACACUGGAGGACCGAACCGACUAGUGUUGCAAAAUUAGCGGAUGAGCUGUGGAUAGGGGUGAAAGGCCAAACAAAUCUGGAGAUAGCUGGUUCUCCCCGAAAACUAUUGAGGUAGUGCCUCGUGUGUCGCUCCAGGGGGUAGAGCACUGUUUUGGCUAGGGGGACAUGGAGUCUUACCAAACCAAGGCAAACUCCGAAUACCUGGAAGCGUGAGCACGGGAGACAGAGCACCGGGUGCUAACGUCCGGACUCAAAAGGGAAACAACCCAGACCGCCGGCUAAGGUCCCAAAUAACAGCUAAGUGGAAAACGAAGUGGAAAGGCCGUGACAACCAGGAAGUUGGCUUAGAAGCAGCCAUCCUUCAAAGAAAGCGUAAUAGCUCACUGGUCGAGUCCUUCUGCGCGGAAGAUGUAACGGGGCUAAGCUGUUAACCGAAGCCGCGGAUGCACUGGUAAUCCAGUGCGUGGUAGGGGAGCGUUCUGUAAGUCUGCGAAGGCGGUUCGAGAGGACUGCUGGAGAUAUCAGAAGUGCGAAUGCUGACAUGAGUAACGUUAAAGCAGGUGAAAAGCCUGCUCGCCGUAAGCCCAAGGAUUCCUGCUCUACGUUCAUCGGAGCAGGGUGAGUCGGCUCCUAAGGUCAGGCCGAAAGGCGUAGCCGAUGGGAAUCAGGUUAAUAUUCCUGAACCUGCGUCAGAUGCGAUGGGGGGACGGAGCAUGAAAGAUCAUCCGGGUGUUGGAAGUCCCGGUUGUUUAGCGUAGGAGGUCUGCAGGCAAAUCCGCAGACGAUUCUCCAAGGCAAAGACACGUGCCGCCACGGCGGCGAAGUGAUCGGAAGUGCUUCCAAGAAAAGCCUCUAAGCACCAGUCUGGCGCGGACCGUACCGCAAACCGACACUGGUGGGCGAGCUGAAUAUGCUCAGGCGCUUGAGAGAACUCGGGAGAAGGAACUCGGCAAAUUGACACCGUAACUUCGGAAGAAGGUGUGCCGUAGUAGCGUGAGAGGAGAGACUCCUCGAGCGUGAAUCGGUCUCAGAGAAUAGGUGGCUGCGACUGUUUAUUAAAAACACAGCACUCUGCAAAGUCGAAAGACGACGUAUAGGGUGUGAUGCCUGCCCGGUGCUGGAAGAUUAAUUGAUGGGGUGAGAGCCCUUGAUCGAAGUCCCAGUAAACGGCGGCCGUAACUAUAACGGUCCUAAGGUAGCGAAAUUCCUUGUC